rnacentral:rRNA from 1 species
AACUGAAGAGUUUGAUCCUGGCUCAGAUUGAACGCUGGUGGCAUGCUUAACACAUGCAAGUCGAACGGUAACAGGUCUUAGGAUGCUGACGAGUGGCGGACGGGUGAGUAACGCGUAGGAAUCUGCCAUUUGAGGGGAUACCAGUUGGAACGACUGUUAAUACCGCAUAAUAUCUGUGGA